rnacentral:rRNA from 1 species
UACGUAGGGGCAAGCGUUAUCCGGAUUUACUGGGUGUAAAGGGAGCGCAGACGGAACUGCAAGUCUGAUGUGAAAGCCCGGGGCUCAACCGAGGGACUGCAUCGGAUACUGUGGAUCUGGAGUGCCGGAGGGGCAAGCGGAAUUCCUGGUGUAGCGGUGAAAUGCGUAGAUAUCAGGAGGAACACCGGCGGCGAAGGCGGCUUGCUGGACGGCAACUGACGUUGAGGCUCGAAAGCGUGGGGAGCAAACAGGAUUAGAUACCCU